rnacentral:lncRNA from 1 species
GACUUUGCUCUUAACAUGCAGAGGAGCCAGAGGCGGGAGCUGGGAGAAGAGAGACUGUUAGGAGGCUGCUGAAAUAGUCCAGGCGAGAGAUCUUGAAGCCCUGAACGUCAAUAUGUGCGGCACGAAGAGGAAGAAUCGAAUCUGAGCCAUUUGGUAUUUGCAAUGGAAAGGACCUCCUAACAGGAGGGGUGAGAUGUGGGAGGAGGAUUUCCAGGCUUUUCAGUUGGCUUGUGACACUACCCAAGACAGGAAGAGAGAGUGAAGUGUCGUUUUGGGCAUGUUGUUUUGGUAAGGACGUGCCUGUGGGUCAUCUAACUGGAGAUGUCCAACAGGCAGGCAGAAAUGUGGGCGUGGAAUCUGGGAGAGAAAACUCUAAUGGAAUAUUUUUCUUAUGACACAUUCCCGUUAAGCCUUCAUUCCUCGGGUUUGGCUAAGGCCACCGUGGACAGAUUGGUGGGGGAAGUGCUGUUCUGAGAUCCUGGGUGUAGUCUUACAGUCCUAACAGCAAGGCAGCUUUCUUUCCCUGUCUCUGCGUGGGGAACAGAAUUUGUGCAGGCUCAAGUGUG